rnacentral:rRNA from 1 species
ACGCUCGACACCUACGGGGGGCAGCAGUUGGGAAUAUUGGACAAUGGAGGAAACUCUGAUCCAGUGACGCCGCGUGAAGGAAGAAGGUCUUCGGAUUGUAAACUUAUUUUGUCAGGGAAGAAAAAUGACUGUACCUGAAGAAAAAGCACCGGCUAACUACGUGCCAGCAGCCGCGGUAAUCUGAGGCGGGCGUGGCGAAGGC